CCUCAGAAGCCCUGGCCUGGCCUGUACUAUUUGUUACUCUUCAGAGCGAUGAACCAACGGCCGACCCUCCCUUUGAUGACCCCCUUGGGCGCACAUGGGGCAAGGACCCAGGGGAAGGAGCCAGCACCCGAACAGGGACGAUGAUGCUGGAAGUGGUGGAAGUGGCCGGCUGUCCUCCAGGAGUAGUGGUUUGCCAGCCUCCUUCCCCUCGGCCAACCCAGAAGGCAUGCCUUCCAAAGCCCCCCUCAUUAGGGCCUCUGAGCAGGCAAACAAACAUCAUUAAUCUUGGCAAAGAACCCCUCUGCCCAGCUUCCCUCCUGUUCCUCGAAUACUCACGGACGGUCGCAAGCCCCAGAGGCAAGGAUCCUCUGCAAGUGGGACUUCUGUGGGCCAAGGACUGUUGC